GGAACAAGGAAAUUUUUGGGGUUGAUGGCCGGGUUCACUAUCUUAAUGGUGGUGAUCAAUUCUUAGGUAUAUAAAUAUGUCAAUACCUAUCAAAUUGUAUACAGGCUUACAGCUGGAGAGAAAUUUGUUUAAAGAUGAAUCAUGCCUUGAGUAUCACUCACAUUUGAUUCAGAUGAGACGCUGGACUUUGGACUUUUGAGUUGGUGCUGAAAUGACUUUAGUUCACCAAGAAACGGGAAGAAAAAUCGGAGGGGA